GAUGAACGCUAGCUACAGGCUUAACACAUGCAAGUCGAGGGGAAACGACAUCGAAAGCUUGCUUCCGAUGGGCGUCGACCGGCGCACGGGUGAGUAACGCGUAUCCAACCUGCCCACCACUUGGGGAUAACCUUGCGAAAGUAAGACUAAUACCCAAUGAUAUCUCUAGAAGACAUCUGAAAGAGAUUAAAGAUUUAUCGGUGAUGGAUGGGGAUGCGUCUGAUUAGCUUGUUGGCGGGGUAACGGCCCACCAAGGCGACGAUCAGUAGGGGUUCUGAGAGGAAGGUCCCCCACAUUGGAACUGAGACACGGUCCAAACUCCUACGGGAGGCAGCAGUGAGGAAUAUUGGUCAAUGGACGAGAGUCUGAACCAGCCAAGUAGCGUGCAGGAAGACGGCCCUAUGGGUUGUAAACUGCUUUUAUAAGGGAAUAAAGUGAGUCUCGUGAGACUUUUUGCAUGUACCUUAUGAAUAAGGACCGGCUAAUUCCGUGCCAGCCGCCGCCGUAA
rnacentral:rRNA from 1 species